GCAAUGUCUUGUGUCUUCAUUGGCUUGGGGAAAACAAUCUCAAGCUGCACUGAGGACUAUACCAGCAGAAAGAGAAGCAAGGGCUCACAAUUUACCCUGCUUACAGAUGAAUAUAAGAAAUUCCAGAUGUUCUGCUUCUCUGAAAAAAGGAAAUAUGGCCAUUUUAACGAUAUCAUUUGGCCUCAGGGUCUAGCUAAUGCUGAUAGAUAAACACAGGAACCAAAAUGCAAUAAAACAAAAGAACAGCACCCAGGAGGGACAUCUAAAGGUAACCCAUUACAUCAGCAAGAACUGAAUGGACAUGACAUUACUUGGAUUCAGUAAUAAGUAUGAAAUAUGAAGAGAGAGGUUA